GGGGUAGCCCAACUGGCAGAGGCAGCCACGAUCAAACUCAGAUUCUCGCUCCAACUUCAGCAUUCAUCACCGAACACCGGGUCGAACGGGAACGGACGAUGACGCCGGAUGCUGGUUCAACUCCAGUCCGCCCCUCCA
rnacentral:tRNA from 1 species